UGUCUAGGAUGACGCUGGCGGCGUGCCUAAUACAUGCAAGUCGAACGCACAGCGAAAGGUGCUUGCACCUUUCAAGUGAGUGGCGAACGGGUGAGUAACACGUGGACAACCUGCCUCAAGGCUGGGGAUAACAUUUGGAAACAGAUGCUAAUACCGAAUAAAACUUAGUGUCGCAUGACAAAAAGUUAAAAGGCGCUUCGGCGUCACCUAGAGAUGGAUCCGCGGUGCAUUAGUUAGUUGGUGGGGUAAAGGCCUACCAAGACAAUGAUGCAUAGCCGAGUUGAGAGACUGAUCGGCCACAUUGGGACUGAGACACGGCCCAAACUCCUACGGGAGGCUGCAGUAGGGAAUCUUCCACAAUGGGCGAAAGCCUGAUGGAGCAACGCCGCGUGUGUGAUGAAGGCUUUCGGGUCGUAAAGCACUGUUGUAUGGGAAGAACAGCUAGAAUAGGAAAUGAUUUUAGUUUGACGGUACCAUACCAGAAAGGGACGGCUAAAUACGUGCCAGCAGCCGCGGUAAUACGUAUGUCCCGAGCGUUAUCCGGAUUUAUUGGGCGUAAAGCGAGCGCAGACGGUUUAUUAAGUCUGAUGUGAAAGCCCGGAGCUCAACUCCGGAAUGGCAUUGGAAACUGGUUAACUUGAGUGCAGUAGAGGUAAGUGGAACUCCAUGUGUAGCGGUGGAAUGCGUAGAUAUAUGGAAGAACACCAGUGGCGAAGGCGGCUUACUGGACUGCAACUGACGUUGAGGCUCGAAAGUGUGGGUAGCAAACAGGAUUAGAUACCCUGGUAGUCCACACCGUAAACGAUGAACACUAGGUGUUAGGAGGUUUCCGCCUCUUAGUGCCGAAGCUAACGCAUUAAGUGUUCCGCCUGGGGAGUACGACCGCAAGGUUGAAACUCAAGGAAUUUGACGG
rnacentral:rRNA from 1 species